rnacentral:lncRNA from 14 species
GUGAGGGCAUGUCUUGCUAUUCUUAUUUUAGUACUUAUUUUAGGAGUAUCAAGUCAGCUAACAUCUCUGCUCUUUGCUGAUUUCUUUUACAGAUUGCCACUCCCCCAGAAGCUUUCUGGCUGCUGAGGGAAACAGCCUUCUAGAAUAUGCCUUUCCAGUGGGUCCCGCCUGAGGCUCCAGCUUUGCCUAAGCAAUCCUGUAUACUUUUGCUCUUGUUCUGUGCUACACCUCCUGUGAUUAUUCCUGCUCAGACAGCACUGCACUGCAAGUAGUUCAAGCAUUGAAGAUGUUCUCAGUGUGAUGCAGAAAUUCAUAUGCUGAAACCACAGCUGUAGCCAUGAGGGCUGGCCUCUUCCAGAACACAGGAAGCAUCAGCAGCUGCCUGUCAAAAAACUGCCUGGAAUGAGAUGUGAG